rnacentral:miRNA from 1 species
AGUUCACAGUUCAUAGGAGGAU